rnacentral:rRNA from 1 species
CUUCGGCGAUCGGGAUCAAAGAAGGCCUCUGCUUGCAAGCUUUCACUGAAGGAUGAGUCCGCGUACCAUUAGCUAGUUGGCAGGGUAAUGGCCUACCAAGGUUAUGAUGGUUAGCUGGUCUGAGAGGAUGAUCAGCCACACUGGAACUGAAACACGGUCCAGACUCCUACGGGAGGCAGCAGUGAGGAAUAUUGCGCAAUGGGGGCAACCCUGACGCAGCAACGCCGCGUGAGUGAGGAAGGUUUUCGGAUUGUAAAGCUCUGUCGAGCGGAAAGAAGUGCAUGGUGGUUAAUAUCCAUCAUGCUUGACGGUACCGCUAAAGGAAGCACCGGCUAACUCCGUGCCAGCAGCCGCGGUAAUACGGGGGGUGCAAGCGUUGUUCGGAAUCAUUGGGCGUAAAGCGCGUGUAGGCGGCUGGACAAGUCAGAUGUGAAAGCCCUGGGCUUAACCCAGGAAGUGCAUUUGAAACUGUUCAGCUAGAGUAAGGGAGAGGAAAGUGGAAUUCCUGGUGUAGAGGUGAAAUUCGUAGAUAUCAGGAGGAACACCGGUGGCGAAGGCGACUUUCUGGCCCUAUACCGACGCUGAGACGCGAAAGCGUGGGUAGCAAACAGGAUUAGAUACCCUGGUAGUCCACGCUGUAAACGAUGUUCACUAGGUGUUGGGGAUAUUGACCCUUCCAGUGCCGCAGCUAACGCAUUAAGUGAACCGCCUGGGGAGUACGGUCGCAAGAUUAAAACUCAAAGGAAUUGACGG